AGAGUUUGAUCCUGGCUCAGGACGAACGCUGGCGGCGUGCUUAACACAUGCAAGUCGAACGGAAAGGCCUGCUUGCAGGGUACUCGAGUGGCGAACGGGUGAGUAACACGUGGGUGAUCUGCCUGCACUUCGGGAUAAGCCUGGGAAACUGGGUCUAAUACCGGAUAGGAGCCAUUUUUAGUGUGAUGGUUGGAAAGUUUUUUCGGUGUAGGAUGAGCUCGCGGCCUAUCAGCUUGUUGGUGGGGUAAUGGCCUACCAAGGCGGCGACGGGUAGCCGGCCUGAGAGGGUGGACGGCCACAUUGGGACUGAGAUACGGCCCAGACUCCUACGGGAGGCAGCAGUGGGGAAUAUUGCACAAUGGGCGCAAGCCUGAUGCAGCGACGCCGCGUGGGGGAUGACGGCCUUCGGGUUGUAAACUCCUUUCGCUAGGGACGAAGCUUUUUGUGACGGUACCUAGAUAAGAAGCACCGGCUAACUACGUGCCAGCAGCCGCGGUAAUACGUAGGGUGCGAGCGUUGUCCGGAAUUACUGGGCGUAAAGGGCUCGUAGGUGGUUUGUCGCGUCGUCUGUGAAAUUCCGGGGCUUAACUCCGGGCGUGCAGGCGAUACGGGCAUAACUUGAGUACUGUAGGGGUAACUGGAAUUCCUGGUGUAGCGGUGAAAUGCGCAGAUAUCAGGAGGAACACCGAUGGCGAAGGCAGGUUACUGGGCAGUUACUGACGCUGAGGAGCGAAAGCAUGGGUAGCGAACAGGAUUAGAUACCCUGGUAGUCCAUGCCGUAAACGGUGGGCGCUAGGUGUGAGGGUCUUUUCACGACUUUCGUGCCGUAGCUAACGCAUUAAGCGCCCCGCCUGGGGAGUACGGCCGCAAGGCUAAAACUCAAAGGAAUUGACGG
rnacentral:rRNA from 1 species